GAACGCUGGCGGCAGGCCUAACACAUGCAAGUCGAGCGGUAACAGGAAGGAAGCUUGCUUUCUUUGCUGACGAGCGGCGGACGGGUGAGUAAUGCCUGGGAAAUUGCCCUGAUGUGGGGGAUAACCAUUGGAAACGAUGGCUAAUACCGCAUGAUGCCUACGGGCCAAAGAGGGGGACCUUCGGGCCUCUCGCGUCAGGAUAUGCCCAGGUGGGAUUAGCUAGUUGGUGAGGUAAUGGCUCACCAAGGCGACGAUCCCUAGCUGGUCUGAGAGGAUGAUCAGCCACACUGGAACUGAGACACGGUCCAGACUCCUACGGGAGGCAGCAGUGGGGAAUAUUGCACAAUGGGCGCAAGCCUGAUGCAGCCAUGCCGCGUGUAUGAAGAAGGCCUUCGGGUUGUAAAGUACUUUCAGUGGUGAGGAAGGGAGUGUGGUUAAUAGCCAUAUUCUUUGACGUUAGCCACAGAAGAAGCACCGGCUAACUCCGUGCCAGCAGCCGCGGUAAUACGGAGGGUGCGAGCGUUAAUCGGAAUUACUGGGCGUAAAGCGCAUGCAGGUGGUUUGUUAAGUCAGAUGUGAAAGCCCGGGGCUCAACCUCGGAGUUGCAUUUGAAACUGGCAGGCUAGAGUACUGUAGAGGGGGGUAGAAUUUCAGGUGUAGCGGUGAAAUGCGUAGAGAUCUGAAGGAAUACCGGUGGCGAAGGCGGCCCCCUGGACAGAUACUGACACUCAGAUGCGAAAGCGUGGGGAGCAAACAGGAUUAGAUACCCUGGUAGUCCACGCUGUAAACGAUGUCUACUUGGAGGUUGUGGCCUUGAGCCGUGGCUUUCGGAGCUAACGCGUUAAGUAGACCGCC
rnacentral:rRNA from 1 species